rnacentral:rRNA from 1 species
AGUGAACGCUGGCGGCGUGCUUAACACAUGCAAGUCGAACGAGAACGGAAUAUAGCUUGCUAUAUUUGUCAGCUAAGUGGCGCACGGGUGAGUAAUGUAUAGAUAACCUGCCCUUAAGAAAGGAAUAACAGUUGGAAACGACUGCUAAUGCCCUAUAUGCCUUUAAUACAUAAGUAUGCAAGGGAAACGCUUUAGUGCUUAAGGAUGGGUCUGUAUGGUAUCAGCUUGUUGGUGAGGUAAUGGCUCACCAAGGCUAUGACGCCUGACUGGCUUGAGAGGAUGAUCAGUCACACUGGAACUGAGACACGGUCCAGACUCCUACGGGAGGCAGCAGUGGGGAAUAUUGCACAAUGGACGAAAGUCUGAUGCAGCAACGCCGCGUGGAGGAUGACACAUUUCGGUGCGUAAACUCCUUUUAUAUAGGAAGAUAAUGACGGUACUAUAUGAAUAAGCACCGGCUAACUCCGUGCCAGCCGCCGCCGUAAAAC